rnacentral:tRNA from 1 species
CCGCGCGCGGGGCGCGACCCCCGGGUGCGCGCCGGGGGACCGAUUCACCAAUCGGCGAGACCGUGCGUCCGAGCCGCGCCGCGCCGGC